GUAGGUGGCAAGCGUUGUCCGGAAUUAUUGGGCGUAAAGCGCGCGCAGGCGGUUCCUUAAGUCUGAUGUGAAAGCCCACGGCUCAACCGUGGAGGGUCAUUGGAAACUGGAGAACUUGAGUACAGAAGAGGAAAGCGGAAUUCCGCGUGUAGCGGUGAAAUGCGUAGAGAUGUGGAGGAACACCAGUGGCGAAGGCGGCUUUCUGGUCUGUAACUGACGCUGAGGCGCGAAAGCGUGGGGAGCAAACAGGAUUAGAUACCCUGGUAGUCCACGCCGUAAACGAUGAGUGCUAAGUGUUAGGGGGUUUCCGCCCCCCUUAGUGCUGCAGCUAACGCAUUAAGCACUCCGCCUGGGAGUACGGCCGCAAGGCUG
rnacentral:rRNA from 1 species